rnacentral:lncRNA from 1 species
UAUAAAGGUUGUGGUUGCCUCGGUAGCACAGAAACCAACAGCACAAUGGGCAGAGGAGGUUCCAUACAAGCAAAACAAAACAGCACAACACGAACUCUGUUUCUGAAAGUGUCUAACAGGGGCACUUGCCGGGAGUGACAGUAGACCUUAACUCCUCAACAUCUCCCUGGCUAUUUCACAGGGAGAGAAUAAAAAAGCAGCGGGAAAUGAAGGCAUACAAUGAUCUGCUCUGGACUCUGUCUGAACUGAGCUUCAGGACCUGCCCUAAGCAACUUCCCGGUGAUGUCCCUCAUGGUCCUUUAACCACAGAAGAGACCAAGCACCCCCUUCCCACAGCUCUCUUCAAGCGGAGGCAGCAACUUAAUCCACAGAUUCCAGGAAAGGAAUCACGAACUUACAGAUGAAGAACCUGGGCUCAGACAGUGGCAGAGUGUCUUGUCAAAGCCAUGCAGAGGUCCAGCCGCUGAGGAGGGCUGUCUGCUUAGAACAGCUGCACUAUUGUCCAUUAUGCCAGACAAGGGAGAAAUAAACAUCUGGAUAUGGAUUGUGAGGUAAAUGAUUAUUUAUGUGGUGUUAAUCUGAGGGGCUCCUGGAAUAACU